CAACGGAGUCGAGGGUCAGGCGUAAUGGGUUGAAAUUUUGUCUUUAAAAAUAUUUAUUGAAAUUUGUCGAUAAAAAAAUUUAGGACAUUUUUGUAAUAAUAAGCAAAUUGUAUCGCAAAAUGCAAAUUUUCAAUGAAAUUUUGGAUUUAGAAAAUAAUCUCGAGACAAAACCUUUUUGGUGGCGCUCGAGCCUGAGGUCAAUAUGUCAAAUCGGGAGAUCGGUUUAAAUGGGAACUAUGUCAGGUUAUAGACCGAUUCAGACAAUAUUUGGUGCGAUUGUUGGAAGCCGUAACGGAACAUUUCAGCGCAAUCGGUUAAUAAUUGCAGUUUUUAGGAGCUCAAGAAAUCGAAGGACCACUUUAUAUGGGAGCUAUAUCAUAAUCUGAACCGAUAUGGCCCAUUUGUAAUCCCCAAUCUCCUACUUCUAGAAGCUCAAGCUUUAUGUUUGAGCUAUAUCCAAAUAUGUACCGAUAUGGCCCAUUGGCAAUCCCCAACGAAUUACAUCAAUAAAAAGUAUCUGUGCAAAAUUU